GAUGAACGCUGGCGGCGUGCUUAACACAUGCAAGUCGAACGAUGAAGCCCAGCUUGCUGGGUGGAUUAGUGGCGAACGGGUGAGUAACACGUGAGUAACCUGCCCUUAACUAUGGGAUAAGCCUGGGAAACUGGGUCUAAUACCGGAUAGGAGCGUCCACCGCAUGGUGGGUGUUGGAAAGAUUUAUCGGUUUUGGAUGGACUCGCGGCCUAUCAGCUUGUUGGUGAGGUAAUGGCUCACCAAGGCGACGACGGGUAGCCGGCCUGAGAGGGUGACCGGCCACACUGGGACUGAGACACGGCCCAGACUCCUACGGGAGGCAGCAGUGGGGAAUAUUGCACAAUGGGCGCAAGCCUGAUGCAGCGACGCCGCGUGAGGGAUGACGGCCUUCGGGUUGUAAACCUCUUUCAGUAGGGAAGAAGCGAAAGUGACGGUACCUGCAGAAGAAGCACCGGCUAACUACGUG
rnacentral:rRNA from 1 species